rnacentral:lncRNA from 1 species
GUCCCCACCCCUACAUGCUGAUUUACCUCUUUCUCUACUUCUUUCAGAUAAGGCUUAACAAACAACCUGUAUCCAACUAUAUCUUAUCUUAUUUAAAAAGAAUAAUAAACAUUUCCAUUUAAACAGAUAAAAAUGACAGUUCCAUUCAAUUUGUAUACAUUUUAUCCAAAAUUUACAACAUAAGCACAAAUUCAAGAUUUUUCAUACUAAUCUCCAUUCCAUG